AGACCUCUCUCUGUACUCAUCCUUGGCAGACAGCAGGCCCAAGAGGAGGAGGAGGCAGGAGCAGAUUUGCUCUGCUAAGUCAAGAACCCUUCCCCGGGUGGCAUCAGAUUUCAUCUGGCCAAGCUGACAGAGAAGUGAUUAGCAGUCUAAAGGAUACCAACUCCACCUUGGAAAGAUGCCAUGACCCAGAGAAGCCAGUUCUCUUCCUGGCUCAGAAGUGGGAGGAGCUGCACUUGGGAUUCCUACUGUGGUAUUGAGAACCAGCUCCCAGGCUCUGCAAGAUGAAAACCAAUCCUAGAGUUAAACCAAGAUGUCAGGCCGGCUAGGGAGUGGGAAAGAGAAGGAAGCCCAAGUUUAAACAAAAAUGGCCUCGAGGCCGGCUUUCUUUCCUUACUCAAUCUUGCGACUUUCAGAAGAGCCAGCUAUGUGACCAGCGAGACUCCGAGCACAUGACGUUCACUUUAUGAAUCAAAUGUCCCGCCUGGUGGCUCCAACAGGACCAGGAUGAGGCACCACAGGGCAAGGCAUCAGAGGACUACACAAACCCAGGGGCCGCUGUGUGGCUGACUUCAGGAAUGUGAAUGGGGCUGCCAAGUGUGUGACUUGAAACCAUACUGGUGCACCAAGGAUCUUCAAGGUAUGCGACAGCGUUGAGGAUGAAAGAGAAGAUGGCCCAGGAGCUGGUGGUGCACACGUUUAUUCCCAGCACUCAGAAGGCAGAAAGUGCUCUAACUGAGGUUUCUGAAAGCAAACCUGCAGACUGAUGGACUCCUUAAAACUUCCUGAUUGUGGAAGGUGAGAAUGUUGCAGAGCCAAAGCCAACAUCAUCUUGUGACAUUGUUAGUUCUCUCAAUAGCCGUUACUCACCUUCCUCUGCAUCCGACUUAAGACCUAUGGGACGAUCAGGAAAGACUUUAGGAAUGUAUUAACUUGGCUGGCCAUCAUCACCCCCAAGGGCAAGAAUGUCAUCAGAGAACAUCCGAGGAUCUCAACAGGAUCUCCCACUUGGCUGCAACCUCAUGUCCCAGCAAUGUGUUUGACAAAUGCUUUGAUUUGUGACUGUCUUGUGUUUGGUAACUUUUUAGGUUCAGGUCACCACAUCCAUGGUGGAACAUGUCAUUCAAGGCAGUCUGAGUCUGUGUCACUCAUAUUUGGUUUGGAAUAAAAUCUCUCUUAUCCCCUUUGG
rnacentral:lncRNA from 1 species